CUCUCUGCACUUUGCCAUUCUCUAUGAAGCUGACAGAUAAGAAACACUGUGUCCGAGUAACUUUAUUGACAUCUCCCCUUUCCAGGACUCUCUAGGAAGCUGACAGAGAGGAAACACCGUAUCCGAGUUACUUUGUUGACAUCUCCCCUUUCACGGGCGCAACAUUUACUCCGCCGGAUUGGCCGACUGAUCUUACAACACAAGAAACACAAGCAUUGUUGCAAGUGCCUCAGUGAGGAGGACCACGUCACCUGGCCACAGUCCCAGGCGCUAUGUCCAGACUGUCCCUUCCUCUGUCUCUUCCAACCUCUUCUGUGACUGCAAACACUUCUUCUAUCACAUCAGCUGCUGCUGGAGCAAGAAUGUCAACUGCCACCCUCUUGGAUACCUCCUCUGCUCCUCCUGCCCCCAUGGACUCUGCCUCUGGUGAUUGUGUCUCCUCUGCUGCGACAUCUGUGGCCGGUCCCUGAGCACAUCUUGCCCCUGACUCUCGACUAUUGGCGGAAAAUGUUGUGUCUGCUGCUGGUUCAGAGCCUGGCUGGCUGCCCGCAAAGCUGAUGAAAACUUUACCAGCUCAGGAUCAGAAAUGGAUUUCAGCAGCUCUUGGGAAGCACCAACAUUUGCUCUCUGACUUGAAGCUAUGGUAUUAUCCACCAGAGCCAGGGCUCAUCUACCAUCAGGGCCCCACUCCAGAUCGCUUUUUCACUCAUCGGCUUCCCUGUUGAUGCCCUACCACCUGUGGAAGGUGAGGCUGUCCUGUCCUGCGUGUGGAAAACAGCUCACAGGCCAUGGAGCCCACUAGAGAGGUUCUGGAUGUGGACAGGUAUAACCUGUUAAUAACUGAGACCCUGUGAUGCAGUUCAGCUGGUUGCAAAAUCUUUCAUAUUUCCAGCAGUACUACCAUAUAGGACCAGUUGCCUGUGGUUUGGCUCACAGGCUGAUCCUGACUCAAAGGUUAUUAUACUGAGAUUAUCUCACUUUGUAAUGUCUUUGUUUGUUAAUGAAACACUUCAAAUUUGCUGGUUUUAUUUGUGUCUCCUCUUUCCUUUGUUUUAGUUAUAGAUAUGCUGGUGCAUACUCAGACCUUGCUGCCCGGCCAUGCCUCCUCCCUGUCACAUUCCAUGAGCCGCCUGAGCCAGUAGCUAUCCCCUCUCUCAGGUGGAUUCUAGCUGUCUAAGGCAGAGACAUUUUGAGCAGGCCGGACCACAUCAAAGCAAGCAUAGCAUGUACCUAGUGUCCUAAAAAUGGACUCCACCAAAAGAGUGAAAUUGUUUGACUGUUAUAACUGUAAUACUCAGGGACCCCCUACUAUAUAUAUUCAGGGACCCCUACUAUAUAUAUUGUAUAAAAUAUAUUGAACUGGGUCUAGUGCCAUGUAUAAACAUAGCUACCCUGUUAUUGUGCAUUCAAUACUAAGCUAUUCAAAUAAUACACAGGUUCAUAUAUUCAUGUUUCUUGUUUAAACAUGUGCAAGGUACAGGGUGGCCGUGCCACUGCCAUUUAUAAAAAUACAUCUUGCAUACUAUUGAUAUUAUAAAAUAAUUCACAGAUUCAUGUUAAUGUGUAUUUAAAGACAUUUAAAUUUGUGGGGAAAAAGAAUAAAAAAAAUAUAACAAAUAUUGUCUAAUCAACUGGCUAUUUUCCCCCUAUCCAGCCCUGUCAGUCGCCCAUUUUGGAUUUUUGUCCAAACAAGUCCCUGCAGUCAAGUCACUUGCUCCUGCUAGCCCCAUCCCCUCCUUUUGCCUGAAGACCAUACAUUCGGAAAACCCCAAAAAAUAAAUGCAGUCAGUGUCACCAGCCCCGGAAUUGUGAAAAUAGCCAUCAUCAAUAUUUUUUUCUUUUUAUACUGUCAUUUCAACACUUAUAUGCCACAUGUGGAUGGAGGCGAUGCGGAGGAAGAGGGCAGAAAAUAAAUGAUUAAUUCUUUAUCAGUGUAAAUAAUGUAUUUAUAUAUUUUUAAAAGAAGGUAUUGUUGCAAUAGGUCUCUAUGUUUAGUAGUGAUGGCGAGAUGAAGCUUCUUGAAGCUUUGAAGCUUUCCAUCCAAUUGGUUCGCUCAUGGGCUGAAGCUUCAUGACGCUUCAUUUGCUCUACUGCCCCAUCAAGUGGUCAUUAAAUGUAAAUGUAAUUAUAAUGAAACCACCGCUUUGGUGUGUGAAGCUUUGAAUUUAAUAAAUGAUUUAAUGAU